rnacentral:snoRNA from 1 species
UUGCACUUGAUACUACCCUAGAUAUACAUGCACAGGUUGAUUUCAGACUUGUGCAUAUAUUGUAAUAUCUGGAUCCAGUAAGUGCUACAUUAAUCAGGCCAUAAGCAUUUAAGCUCAUUGUGUGUAGUUACAUCUUGAGUUAUAACUUGUGGCACAUGG